rnacentral:rRNA from 1 species
ACACAUGCAGUCGAACGGUAACAGGUCUUCGGAUGCUGACGAGUGGCGGACGGGUGAGUAAUGCGUAGGAAUCUGUCUUUUAGUGGGGGACAACCCAGGGAAACUUGGGCUAAUACCGCAUGAGCCCUGAGGGGGAAAGCGGGGGAUCUUCGGACCUCGCGCUAAGGGAGGAGCCUACGUCUGAUUAGCUAGUUGGUAGGGUAAAGGCCUACCAAGGCGACGAUCGGUAGCUGGUCUGAGAGGACGACCAGCCACACUGGGACUGAGACACGGCCCAGACUCCUACGGGAGGCAGCAGUGGGGAAUUUUUCGCAAUGGGGGCAACCCUGACGAAGCAAUGCCGCGUGGAUGAAGAAGGCCUUCGGGUUGUAAAGUCCUUUCGUGGAGGACGAAAAGGUGGGUGCUAAUAUCAUCUGCUGUUGACGUGAAUCCAAGAAGAAGCACCGGCUAACUCCGUGCCAGCAGCCCGGGG